GUCUUCGUGGUGUAGUUGUCAGCAUGCUCAACAUGUAACCAAGAGGUCCGUGGUUCGAUUCCCGGCGAAGGCA
rnacentral:tRNA from 1 species